CUAAGAAGCAAAAAACCUAAUCCACACAUUAUUCAAUGCAUGCAUGGCCCCUUGCCAAUUGCCAUUGUAUGGUUAUAAAGUUUCUUGCAUAGCUCCCCAUAAACCAAACAUAUUUCAGCUCAUCAUCUAUAAGAGACUUGGUUUCCAUUGAAUUUCUAUGUGUCUCUGUGUUCAGUGCUAUUUCACCUCGUCAAAUUUUAUAUCACCUUUUAAGUUGGAUUAUCAUCUUUCUCGAACAAGAAGGAGAUUACAACUACAUAGAUUAAAUGAUAUCAAUGGCUCAUGAUCAAGGUAAAAAGCAGUUGUUUCAAGGCUCGUGUGGAGAGCAAUCAAGGUUUUCGAGAAAUACGAGAGAUGAGAAAUGGGAUUUGAUUGAAAAAGAACGUUACGAAGAGUCGGAAAAAUCGUCGUCAAUCGGGAUAGCUUCGACAAAUUCAGAUGGAUCUUCUUCAUUAGACACGUCCGAUGAUGCAUCAUCGUCGUCGUAUUCAUCUGCAAAUUCAAGUGGAUCUUUGUACGAUUUGUCGGAUCUCAUGUCCCAAUUACCCUUCAAGAGAGGGUUAUCGAAGUUUUAUGAAGGAAAAUCACAAUCAUUCACCUGUUUAUCAAGGGUGGGAAGCAUAGAGGAACUUGCAAAGAAAGAAAGUGCUUACAACAACAGGAGAAAGUUAUUGAAUGGAUGCAAAAGUUACGGAGGUGGUUUAAAUAAUUAUAAAUUAUACAAUCUUCCGAAGCCCGUUAUUUCAAAGAAAAAAUCAAGGGGAUUGCUUUCUUCUUCAUCUCUUUCCAAUAGAAAAGGAUCCAAGUAAUCUCAAGUAUUCCAUUCCAUGUAACCUUCCAUUUUUUUUCAAGGGAGUGAGAUUUAUAAUUAAUAAAAAUUACGACAUAUAUUCGAUGAUA